UUCUUUAAGAAUAUUUAAAUUUAAAGUAUUUCUCCUGCUCAAUGAAUAUUAAAUAGCCGCAAUUAUUUUUGUGCUAAGGUAGCAUAAUCAUUAGCUUUAUAAUUAAAAGAUAGAAUGAACGGAAAAACGAAAAAACAAUUAUUUAUAUUAUUUUUCAUAAAAUUAAAUUUUAUAUGUUAAAAUUCAAUAAUUUAAAAUAUAGACGAUAAGACCCUAUAAACUUAAAUAAUUUAACUGGGGAGGUUUAAAAAUAAAAUCUUAUAUAAUAAUUAUAAUUUAUAUAUCUAUUAACAAUAAUAUAAAAUUAGUUACUAUAGGGAUAACAGCGCAAUAUUUUUCAAUAGAUCUUAUAUAAAAAAAUAGUUACGACCUCGAUGUUGAAUUAAUAUUCUAAUUAAACGCAAAAAGUUAUUUAAAAAGAAGGUCUGUUCGACCAAUAAAAAAUU
rnacentral:rRNA from 1 species